rnacentral:rRNA from 1 species
UACGGAGGGUGCAAGCGUUAAUCGGAAUUACUGGGCGUAAAGCGCACGCAGGUGGCUGAGUAAGUCGAUUGUGAAAGCCCUGGGCUUAACCUGGGAAUUGCAGUCGAUACUGCUCGGCUAGAGUAUGGGAGAGGGUAGUGGAAUUCCCGGUGUAGCGGUGAAAUGCGUAGAUAUCGGGAGGAACAUCAGUGGCGAAGGCGGCUCUCUGGUCCAUUACUGACGCUGAGGUGCGAAAGCUAGGGGAGCAAACGGG